GUCUCGUCGUCUCUCCAUAAAAGAUGCAAUUCCUGUCCACUUCCAAGUAGUGAAACUUGUCUUUUUUUCUUGAUUCUAUCUCCAGCUUGACUUUGUGUCUGUACAUAAGUAAACCAUCUGAAUUUGUACUGUUAGUAGUCUGUUACAGUAUUAAUAGAUCCAAAGUACAGUAAAUCUAAGAAUAUGACACAAAGUACAGAAAGAAAACUGUUAUCGCUUUUCCUGAUUUCAGAAUACACAUCCAAGGCUUUUCAAAGUAAAGAAGAUUACAUUAGGGCAUAGACUAUGAAAAUGUACCCGUCUGUAAGGUCACUAAAUGUUGAUGCCUCCAUGUAGUGAUGAAAAAAUGAAUAUUCUGCCCAAGAUGCUAUCAUUCAGAAUACUCGGUCGUUUUUAUGGUUUUAAAUCUUUAGAAGUUCACUGUCUCAUUGAACCGUCUCUCUCUCAAUGUACAGGAUGGCAAAGCCUAAAUGGCACUAUAGGCGUUCUGCGAAAUGAGAAACAAAAAAUAUAAACCUGACAUUUGUACUUUCACCGGCUAUAGUGAUUGCCUUUGCAAGAGAUGGCCUUUAUGAGAAAGCAGAAGAAUUCUUGGAACAGUUGCGGGAAGCAGGGCUUGAGACUUAUGGAUAUGCCUAUAACAAUUGACAGAGCAGCUUCAGACUCUCUUUAGAUUUUUUCAAGUCACCUAUCAUAAUUCAGUGUUGGUUCUAAGUCAUGUUUUGAUAUUCAAAUUAUAUUAUGAAGUAGUGUGUACAAAAC
rnacentral:lncRNA from 1 species